GGAAAGCGAGAGUGAUAACUGAGCGCAAAAUCUGUCUUCUCUAGCAGGGGGCGAUUUUUCGUUUCAUUCCGCUCAUCAAGCGAGCAGUUUGUAUGGAGGUCAAUGAGAGCGUGUCGCAUUUGGUUAACAAAACAUUGAAUGGCUUAUUUAGUACGUGUGGCUUAUUUGAUUGAAUAGAAGUUUCGUAAUUAUUAGGCUGUUACGAGUGUACUGAUAUAAGUAGAACAAGUGACAUCCCGGGAAAUUCGAGGAAAAACACUAUAUCGCCGUUGUGCCUGGUCGUUACUAGUCACCCCAGUCAGAAAGUCAUAAACCCCGCCUAUUUCUACAAUGUAUCUUCUUAAAAUGUUAUUUUUAAAAUAACUUGGACCACACUGCUAACCUUAUGCUUAAACUUAAAUGUAAUCUAAUUUUUGUUUUUAUACAUUUUUUACGACACAGCCAAUUCUGACUUGGUGGUUGUGGUAACCGUUGUGCUUUUUGCUCACACGCGUAUCUGUCCUGUCAUUGGCUAGAAUGGUCCCACCUGAUCUUGCCUCCUCCCGUUUGCCUUCAUUUUUGAAGAUUUAAUGUCAUUGUUAGAGCGUCCACUAUGUUAACUGUGUUUUAAUGAAAAGCAUGCAUGGGGUUUGAAGCAAAUUAACAUUUUACUAAACUAACUACAUUAUAUUUAGCCAGAAUAUGACAUAUUGUGGGCUUUCACAUGAUUGUCUACGAAAUGGGCCAAACUGUGUCAUGGAUGAUCUUGAGUCAGAACUGAGGGAGCUAGAAGAACUGGGCGAAAAUGACUCUUCAGAUGAUGAAUCAAUCAACAGAAAACGAAUCAAGCAGCCAAACCUCCCCCGGAGUCAACUAUAUUUAAAGGCACAUUAUAAAAUACACUUUGUUGACGAAUAUGUGAUCCGCUAAUUUAUUAUCUUGACAAUGUGCUGCUACCGGUGGCUGUUUGCUUGCUCUGGACCUAUCGCGCCACGAGAACGCACGACUAUAUGCCAGAUUAUCGUGUUCAUCAUUGUGUAAGAUCUCUUAGACCUAGUAACCAGUCUGUCUCCUGUAUGAUCACAGAGACACACCGUGAGACUGGUUUUCACAAGACCACAAUGAACUGCCUCCAGCACAUCAAGGAGACUGCUGAGUACAUGUCCAGUUACUCACGAACACUGGAGGACGUGCCACAACUCUACGCUGAGAUCAUUUGAAGGACAAGCACAGAUACACUACCGUCCCAUCUUGAAGCUGGAAGACCACAACAGUUUCUAUGCGCUAUUAGAGAUCUAUGCGGGAGUGAAACAUUACCUGAAGUAAAUCUGUCUGGAGCACUCGUUUCACCUCCUGGUGAACGGGCAGUUUGAGGACGUCCAUCGCUGAGAGCUGGAGGUACGGCAAGCAGUCAGCCGAUCAGUCCCAGCGGAUUAAGCUGAUCCAGUCCUACAGUGGCUUCCUGGAUUACUUCAUCUGGUGUGGGGGGAGAGAAAAAAGUCCACCGUCUGCAGCACUGGUAAGACGACACCUGGCUACCCCCAAACAUCCAUUAUUCAUUGGUUUCAAUUGCACUGAUAGUAAAAAUCUUCAUAUUGUGUUAGACUGCUGCGCCACUCGGGAGGCCUAAGGCACUGCAUCUCAGUGCUAGAGGCAUCACUACAGACCCUGUUUCGAUCCCGGGCUGUAUCACAACCGCCCGCGAUCGAGAGUCCCGAGUCCCGUAGGGCGGUACACAAUUGGCCCAGCGUCGUCCGGGUUAGGGGAGGGUUUGGCCGGGGUAGGCCGUCAUUGUGAAAUAAGAAUUUGUUUUUACUGACUUGCCUAGUUUAAAAAAAGAAAAAAAAGAGUAAUAACAUUACCAUCUACUGGACAGAUAAUGUAACUGCCUUUUGGGACAUAAUUCCAAUGCAUUUCAAACAUCGUGGUAAAACAAAGAGUAACCAGAAACUGUGGUGCCUCAGCUUAACAUGGACUUUGACAUAAUUAUUUCAGAUGAGUAUGAUGGUGUCAAUCAAGAGAUGCACAGCUACUUCUGCCAAUCCUCUGUGAACCGGAAGGAUAUCAUUAAACUUCCUGGGGUCUGGGAUCCUUUUGUUCUGAGUUACAUUAAUGUAAGUGCUAGUUUGUGUUUAGUAGGCAUUCAACAGGAGGAAACAUUUCAACAGAAUGGGAAAUGGUACUACUUGAACUUUACACUUAUUUUCAUUUUGUGUUUCAAAGUGGUUUACUACGAUUUGCCCUACUGAACACGACCCCUGGCAUCCCCAUUUCCCUUCAUUGAACUACGUUCCUUUAUCACACUAUCUAUGAUGAGAUAAUGUUUUGACUUGUAUGUGUCAAUGGUAGAUGCUGGAAUUUUACAACGAUCACGAGGGAGCUGUGAAGGUUCUGAAUGACUAUGCCCAUGACAACAGUUUGCCUCCCCAAUGCCCAUGUCUACCUCUACCGGUACAUGAAGAAAUGCAACCACCCAUCAAAUAAACUGCUCAGUGCUCAAGGAAAGGCACCAAAGAGGGUGUGAAUGGGAAUAGGUGGGAAGUAUACUCACAAAACAUUGUUUAUUUAGCUGUAUGUUUACAGUUGACUUAUUGAAUGUUAAAUUAAGCCACGGAAAAUGUUUGCCUAAGGUUGACCUCCAUAAAAAAAAGUACAGUACUUUUGUGAGAUGUAAUUGCUAAGCUCUAGGCUACAGUUAGUCCUGCACUCCUCUGCCCUUUCAAUAGCGUUCUAGUACAGUAAUGUUUUUAAUGAGUCCAUGUUUUCUAUUACAUUAGCCUUAGAUCCUGCAUACAUUGGUCCCAAGUCACGAGUUAAUGCUGGAAUACAGUUCUCUUCUGCUACAGUCCGAGAGAGUGAUCUUCAGAAGGCUCUAGGUGUUGUUCUGGAUCUCCUGGACUUAUCCAGUUGGAGGAGAAAUUUGGAUGUCUGGAACCAUUUGAUGACCAUCGUGAAGAGGCUGAGGCCCAGAAAACAAUGGCUGAAGAUUGUUGCAGAGGAGUUGGUGAACAGAAUGGACUGGUGGCUAGCAAUGCACUUCACAACAUUCCAGGCCAGGAGAGACUUGGCAGUGAAUGGGGUGCUACUGGAAGUGAAGUGCUUUGUGCUUGGAGCCUUUUGUCCUCGCUAUGCCUUCAUGUACUGUGAUGUAGGUAAGGACACCCAAAAAGAAGUUACUUCCGAGGCGCAGAAGGCAGAAGAAGGAUAAGGAAUCCAAGACGGCUAAGGCUCAGAAGAGAAUGCGGAAAGCAAAGCUGACUUUGAGAAAGCGUCUCGGAACGCUGCUGGGCGCAUCGGCGAGAACCGAAACGUUUCAAAAAUACGUGAAAACCUUCUACCAUUGCCUGAUCAUGGCAGACAUAACCUCCUCAUGCGGUCAUCGGGUCAUACUCUCUCCCCUUCCAUGACAGCUGCUCCAACUACACCCCCUCACUGCAGGCCUCACUCUCCUUGCAUUGCUUCACUUCUCAAGUUCUACGAUUGUCCACCAGGGAGGGCUCACACGAUGGCUAAGUUUUGAGUCGUUCUGAAUGCUGCUGAGCUUGUAACUGAGAGCUGUGUUCACUGUGGUAGUUCGUAGGGAAAAAAGGAGGCUGGGUAUGCUGCAGUAUUAAGUCUAGGACACGGUACACAGCUCUCCCAACGGGUAGAUCGCAGCCAACAUGUAUGAGUAGCUUACAAGCAAUUCUGAAAGUGCAUGCAUGUUUUUCAUGUGUUCCCAUCGCAAACUUUCAUAAACAAGCUCCUGGCUACUAUACAACCAAAACCACAUUGACAUUAUCCUACCCCUGGUUAGCCACUAUUGGCUUAAAAAGCCCAAAUUAACACUAAAUCUGCCAAUUUAUUUCUUGCAAUAUCCAUUUGCCUCAGUCUGUCUGCUUGGUACGUGCAUUUGUCUAUCACUCAGUAUGCUGCCAGUUAGCCGUGCUAGUAAUGAUAACCAUCUUGUGGGUAGACAGACUUUCUGCAAAAACUCAAUUAAAUGGUAACUGCAAAGCAGGCUUGCCUGACAGAAAGAUAUGAUUAUUUUUAUCAAUUGGGUGGCCAUCCUUUUGCAAACGCUGCCAUAACGUGCUGCAGCCGUAGGCCUAACAAACAUCUACACUGACACAUUCCCCACUUUCUGAAUGCGCAAUUAAAGGAGAGUUGCACAUGAAAAUUGAAAUUUAUUUUUUAUUUUUCAGACUUCAAUUGCUCUUCUUUAAAUUCUGAAAUUUCCUUCCUCAAUUACAUUUUCUGUCAAGAUAGCAACUCCACCCCCUUCAGCAGUUCUACUGUAGAGAGAGCCUGCAAAGUUCUGUCAUACUAUCCAGGUCUGUGCCCAAACAGUUCGAGCUUCUACUUUUAAAAAUCCAUUUUGCCAGAAAUGAGUCCCUCACUUUUGCUGCUUGUUAUAGACCCCUCCUCAGCUCCCAGCUGUGCCCUGGACACCAUAUGUGAAUUGAUUGCCCCCAUUUAUCGUCAGAGUUCGUACUGUUAGGUGACCUAAACUGGGAUAUGCUUAACACCC